UACGUAGGGGGCAAGCGUUGUCCGGAUUUACUGGGCGUAAAGAGCGUGUAGGCGGCCAAGCAGGUCCGUUGUGAAAACUGGAGGCUUAACCUCCAGACGUCGACGGAAACCGCGUGGCUAGAGUCCGGAAGAGGAGAGUGGAAUUCCUGGUGUAGCGGUGAGAUGCGCAGAUAUCAGGAAGAACACCCGUGGCUAAGGCGGCUCUCUGGGACGGUACUGACGCUGAGACGCGAAAGCGUGGGGAGCGAACAGG
rnacentral:rRNA from 1 species